AGCGAAAGCGAGUCUGAAUAGGGCGCUUAAGUUUGCAGACGUAGACCCGAAACCGUGUGAUCUACCCCUGUCCAGGGUGAAGGUGCGGUAACACGCACUGGAGGCCCGAACCCACGAAUGUUGAAAAAUUCGGGGAUGAGGUGGGGGUAGCGGAGAAAUUCCAAUCGAACUCGGAGAUAGCUGGUUCUCCCCGAAAUAGCUUUAGGGCUAGCCUCGGGAGAUGAGUCGUGGAGGUAAAGCACUGAUUGGGUGCGGGGCCCGCCAAGGGUUACCAAGUCCAGUCAAACUCUGAAUGCCACAGACUUUAUCCCGGGAGUCAGACAGUGAGUGCUAAGAUCCAUUGUCAAGAGGGAAACAGCCCAGAUCAUCAGCUAAGGUCCCCAAGUGUGUGUUAAGUGGGAAAGGAUGUGGAGUUGCACAGACAACCAGGAUGUUGGCUUAGAAGCAGCCACCAUUGAAAGAGUGCGUAAUAGCUCACUGGUCGAGUGACUCUGCGCCGAAAAUGUAACGGGGCUAAACACACCACCGAAGCUAUGGCUAGACGACGUAAAGUCGUCCUGGGGUAGGGGAGCGUUGUAUGCGGGUUGAAGUCAGAUCGUGAGGACUGGUGGACUGCAUACAAGUGAGAAUGCCGGUAUGAGUAACGAAAAGACAAGUGAGAAUCUUGUCCGCCGUAAGCCUAAGGGUUCCUGAGGAAGGUUCGUCCGCUCAGGGUAAGUCGGGACCUAAGGCGAGGCCGAAAGGCGUAGUCGAAGGACAACAGGUUGAAAUUCCUGUACCACCGUGAACCGUUAUGAGCAAUGGGGUGACGCAGAAGGAUAGUGACGCGAGCUGAUGGAUGCUCGUCCAAGCAGUGAGGCUGAUACGUAGGCAAAUCCGCGUAUCGUAAGGCUGGGCUGUGAUGGGGAGGGAAAAUUACAGUACCGAAGGUCAUGAGUUCAAGCUGCCAAGAAAAGCCUCUAGCCAGGGAGAAGGUGCCCGUACCGCAAACCGACACAGGUAGG
rnacentral:rRNA from 1 species